AUAUAUGGACCACGAUUCAGUCUCGCUCGGAACGGCAAUGGAAGCAAUUCUAUUUGAGAAUCUCAACCGUCCAAUACAAUUAAAAUGAUCCAAUGGUUCUGAUGCUUCCAUAUUCUUUUAAUCUUUACCCUUUAUGUAAUCUAUGGUUGGGGAGUGGCCUGUGCAAAAGACUGUACAACUGUCACUAAUUUGACAGUUAUAGACUAGGGAGUAGGGGUAUGGCUUCAAUUCUACAUUGGUAUUGCUGGAGAGAGAAAGUCGGUUCCCAUUUCCAUUAUCUCUCUUAAAAUUAUAUUAUUUUCAUGACCCUCUUCUCAGGAAGAAAACCCUGCAUUUUUUUUAUUGUUUUGAUUUCAUCCUUUAAUACUCCAUCAGUUGAUCGUUCUUGCUGUUGUAGGGGCAUUCAAUAUCCGGUGUAGAAACCUAAGAAGAACGAAGCAUUAGAGCCUACUCAGGCACGAAAUCCGGGCACGGUGCGAUUAGGGGUUCCGCCAUUGAACAUACAACAGAGAAAGUGGAACUGAAAUUAGCAUUUGAUGUUCUUGAGUAAUGAUAAGGUAGCUAAGAAGGGUGUGGUUAAGAACGAAAGGGUCACUACUAAAAAGGAGAAUGUGACUAAUUUAAUGAGUGUUACAAUUGAGACAAUGGCAGCAGAAACAUCCCAAAAAAUGGAGGCCACUAUAAGAGAGCAGAAUCGAAUUCAGCUCGAUGGGAUGCAGAAGGAGUUGGCUGGAAAGUGGAGGGUUGCUUUCAAUACAGCCUCCCCAAGCAAGUCUCGGGAAAAAAAAGCAAUUAAUACAGCUUUUUCUAACAAGUCUGGAGAAGACGAGGUUUGUAUAGAGGUUGAUUCACAUGACAUAGUCACAAGAUAUUCCUUUGAAUGGGUAGUUAGGAUAGUGAGUUGCUUAUCUAAUGAACAAAAAGAAAUGGUAGUAGCGGCAGGAUUUGGUUCUUAUUUAAAUGUAGAUUUUCCACAUGUGUACAGUCCACUAGUUCAGUGGCUUGUUCAGGGGGUUUAUGUGGGUAGUAACUGUCUCAACCUGUAUGGCCAGAAGAUUUUAUUAUCGAGUAGGAUUUUACAACGUGUAAUGGACAUUACGAAUGGAAACUUGCCCAUUAAAGUUGAUGAAAUGGUUCGUGAUAAGGAUCUGAAGGCUAGGAUUUCGGGUGGCAAACCUCGAAUCUCUCUUGCAUAUUUGGAGAGAAGUCUUAAUAAUUACAAGCCGGCUGAUGAUUUUUUCCUAGGGAAUUUCAUUCUUAUGAUUGUUGGCAGCAUCUUGGUCCCUGGUGCUAGACUGGAUAUUCGAACCAGUUACAUAAAUGCAGUAAGUGAUGCCACCAAGAUUCGGUCUUACAACUGGGCCGACCACUCGUACAGCACGCUAAUGAAAUCCAUUGGCAAGUAUCAGUCUAAUUCUACAUAUCACAUAAACGAAUGCACUGUUUUUCUUCAGCUUCUAUACUUUAACCAUAUUGAUGUCCCCAAAUUUUCUGUUGACCGGAGUGUUCCUCCAAUUAAAUUUUGGAAUGAUUCUUCUUGCAAAAGGGUGAAGAAUCAUAUUUUUCACAAUGGUGGUUAUAGUGGGUGCAAAACUAUCAAACUCGUGGAUGUCCUAAAUGACAAUGAUACUAGUCUGUCUACCUCAUAUAAUGAUGUUCUUAAUUUAUUGAUGGAGAAGGUUACCAAGCUGUGUUGUCAAAUGGAUUCCUUGGUUGCCUUAGUUGAGGGCUUACCAUAGAUCAUUAAGGGAAUGGUUUGAAGGGAGAUGAAGAAUUUCAUUGCAAACAAUGUGGUUGUGGAUGGUUCUCCCAAACAGGACGAACAUACUGCUAAAGAUAAUGCAGAAAAAGACACUGAGGGAGUUGGAUUUCCUCCCAUUAUGGACCUGACCAAUGUGAUCGAUGAGUUCCAGAAUGCUAUCAAUGACCAUUUCAAACGCCCUGAUGAACCGAAGAAGUGGGGGAAGGAAGGUUAUGAGAAGUUUUAGUCAAGUGAAGGUCUUGUAGCAGGGCCUUUCAAGUUAUCUUCACCGAUCUCCUUGCAGAUGUUCAAGUUGGCAGAGUUCAUCUAUAACCCAGAACUGCAAGAUUCUUUGUGAUUAUGACGAGCUUAAAUUGGAUAGGGAAUGCAUGAGGUCAAUUCAGCCUCAUAACAGGGUGCGCAAAGAGGUAAAGGGAAAGAAAAGCUCACCUAGCCUUGAGUGGAGAGCUGAUGUGGUGGUGUGUACAUAUGCGGCCGCUUGACCGCCACGGUCAUGGUGUUCUCAAAGGAACUAGGGGGUUUACCCUAUUUUUGCCGCUUAGGUCGGCGGGAUUGUAAAUUUGUAACUGUAAUGACCAUUUUGUACUGAGAACCACUUGUAAAUGUUUUGUUUAGCUCUGCAGAGCAGUUUGUAAUAAAAUCUCCAUUUCCGUUUUAUUGGUUUUGUACCUUAACCUGUUAAUCACACUUAGAGCACGUUU